GUGGCACAACGGUUAAGUGCUCGGCUGAUAACCGAAAGGUUGGUGGUUCGAAACCACCC
rnacentral:tRNA from 1 species